rnacentral:tRNA from 1 species
GCGGGAGUAACUCAGUGGUAGAGUGCGACCUUGCCAAGGUCGAAGUCGCGAGUUCAAAUCUCGUUUCCCGCUCCA